rnacentral:rRNA from 1 species
CCUACGGGAGGCAGCAGUGAGGAAUAUUGGUCAAUGGACGAGAGUCUGAACCAGCCAAGUAGCGUGAAGGAUGACUGCCCUAUGGGUUGUAAACUUCUUUUAUAUGGGAAUAAAAUGUUCCACGUGUGGGAGUUUGUAUGUACCAUAUGAAUAAGGAUCGGCUAACUCCGUGCCAGCAGCCGCGGUAAUACGGAGGAUCCGAGCGUUAUCCGGAUUUAUUGGGUUUAAAGGGAGCGUAGAUGGGUUGUUAAGUCAGUUGUGAAAGUUUGCGGCUCAACCGUAAAAUUGCAAUUGAUACUGGCAGUCUUGAGUAGAGUUGAGGUAGGCGGAAUUCGUGGUGUAGCGGUGAAAUGCUUAGAUAUCACGAAGAACUCCGAUUGCGAAGGCAGCUUACUAACCUGACACUGACAUUGAUGCUCGAAAGUGUGGGUAUCAAACAGGAUUAGAUACCCGAGUAGUC